UGCCAGACUCCUACGGGAGGCAGCAGUGGGGAAUAUUGCACAAUGGGGGAAACCCUGAUGCAGCAACGCCGCGUGAGUGAAGAAGUAUUUCGGUAUGUAAAGCUCUAUCAGCAGGGAAGAAGAAAGACGGUACCUGACUAAGAAGCCCCGGCUAACUACGUGCCAGCAGCCGCGGUAAUACGUAGGGGGCAAGCGUUAUCCGGAUUUACUGGGUGUAAAGGGGGCGCAGACGGCAGCGCAAGCCAGGAGUGAAAGCCCGGGGCCCAACCCCGGGACUGCUCUUGGAACUGCGCGGCUGGAGUGCAGGAGGGGCAGGCGGAAUUCCUGGUGUAGCGGUGAAAUGCGUAGAUAUCAGGAGGAACACCGGCGGCGAAGGCGGCCUGCUGGACCGUGACUGACGUUGAGGCUCGAGAGCGUGGGGAGCAAACAGGAUUAGAUACCCCUGUACG
rnacentral:rRNA from 1 species